GAUCUGGUUCAGGAUGAACGCUGGCGGCGUGCCUAACACAUGCAAGUCGAGCGAUUACUUCGGUAAAGAGCGGCGGACGGGUGAGUAACGCGUGGGUAACCUGCCUCAUACACAUGGAUAACAUACCGAAAGGUAUGCUAAUACAGGAUAAUAUAAGAGAUUCACAUGGAUUUCUUAUCAAAGCUCCGGCGGUAUGAGAUGGACCCGCGUCUGAUUAGCUAGUUGGUAAGGUAAUGGCUUACCAAGGCGACGAUCAGUAGCCGACCUGAGAGGGUGAUCGGCCACAUUGGAACUGAGACACGGUCCAAACUCCUACGGGAGGCAGCAGUGGGGAAUAUUGCACAAUGGGCGAAAGCCUGAUGCAGCAACGCCGCGUGAGUGAUGAAGGCCUUCGGGUCGUAAAACUCUGUCCUCAAGGAAGAUAAUGACGGUACUUGAGGAGGAAGCCCCGGCUAACUACGUGCCAGCCGCGGC
rnacentral:rRNA from 1 species